UUUGUUUGGUUUAUGCUCUAUUUAUAGGAUUUUCUGGCACAAGUGCCUACCUUUCAAUAUCAGUAUCCUGUCAUCACAAAUGUUCAUAUCUGGAACGGGAAAAUUGAGCGGGGUGAUUGAAGGCAGCAAAUUGAGCUGAGAUGAAGGGCACAUAGUCAAUAUCUCUGAGGGAGGCAGACCUACAAGGGGAGGUUGAGAGGAUGAAUGCUAAGAGUAUGCUAGAGUGAAGGAAUCUAUCAUGUUCAGAACAAGAAAUCUGGGAAGAAACAAUCAUCAUAACUAUUUGUCUCUUUUCAUUUGUUGUUUUUAGUGUUAUUU